rnacentral:lncRNA from 1 species
AUGAAUAAAGUCAUUUUCUUCUGCAUUUUAUCUUCCUGGAUUAUGCAAAUACUUUCCAGAGAUGUUUCAGAACAUGAAGUGACUCUCUUGAGAGUCCAGCGGAAGGAAAACAUCAGCCUGAACUGCAACAUGACUGACAGAUAUGAAAUGGCCUGGUUUCACCAGUAUUCUCAACAACUAAAUCAACUAAUAUCUGCAAAGGUGAGCAGUGCGUCAGGAAGACUUCUAGUUAUGUACAAUCAAAACUGGAGUCAUCUAACUGUUGGAGAACACCAUGCAGAUGUGGGGAUCACCACAGUCAAGCUAGUUAUUUCUGGAGUAACAGAGACAGACUCAGGCCUUUAUUUCUGUGGAACAAAAUCAGUGACUUCAAAGACUUCAAAGAUGCACUUCGACAAACCCACCAGACUACAGAUCGAGGGUUAGUACCACUGACCUCAGUUUCUCUCAAUUCUUCAUAAUGUUUUCAAUGCUGCUUUUUUGAGUAAAUUAUUUUACAAAUGUAUUUAAUUAAUCACUAGUAAAGCUAGUGUCUCCAUCGAUCAAACCAUUUUCACUCCAAGUAAAGUAAAGGGCAACGUUUGAAUGAUUCCUGGAAUUAAAUGUGUUAUUGAGGAAAGGUUUACUGCUAUAAUAAUACUGAAACUGAACAUUGUUUUUGUUUAUUUUUGUUUUAUUGAGCUUUUGUGUUUGAUUACAUGAUCUUACGUGACCCUAGAGCACAAAACCAGUCAUAAGUCAAUUUCUUGAAAUUGAGAUUAAUAGAUCAUCUGAAUAAAUGAUCUCUCCAUUGAUGUGUUGUUUGUUCGGAGGACAAUAUUUGUCUGAGAUACAACUAUUAGAAAAUCUGAGGGAGCAAAAAAAUCUAAAGUUGAUUUAAAGUUGUCCAAAUUAAUUCUUUGCAAUGCAUAUUACUAAUCAAAAAUGAAGUUUUGAUAUAUUUACGGGAAACUUGCACAAUAUAUUCAUGGAUCACAAUCUUUACUUAAUAUCCUAAUGAUUUUUUAAGAAAAUAGAUCAUUUUGACCCAUACAUCGUAUUUUUGGCUAUUGCUACAAAUAUACCCCAGAGACUUCAGACUGCUUUGUGCUCCAGGGUCACAAUAUUUAAAAUAUUUUCAGACAAGCUGACAGACAGAGAAGACCGAGUCCAUUCUGUCACAGAAACACCAGAGAUUGUUGAUGUCACAGGUAAGGAAAUCAUUCUUGUGUCUCAUUUUCUCACAACUUGAAAUCAGUACAGAUUUAUCAAGGAUGUAAAAUGUAAAAUUUACUGGCUAACUAUCUGGGUUUCUUAAUUCUGCAAAAUUCUGCUUUCUCUUUGUAGAGGAAGUGACUACGAAAGAGAGGGCGUUGAUGUUGGUGGUGUUGGUCUGGCGAUUGCAGUGUUUUUUCUGGCUCAGUCAUUGCAGGAGGAAUAAUUCACUAUCGCGGCUGGCAGAAAGGAUGGAGCGCCGCCAAACGCUCAUCUCUGAUUCAUCACAAUUCAGCUAAAUAACUUCUGUUUCUGCUUUAUUUCAAAGUCUAACUCAGUAUACCCAUGAGCUUUGCUUUGCUGUAGGUUACCACAAAUGUUGUAAAUGUCCCCUUUUUUAGCCCCAGUGAAAAUACUUGUUAAUAGUUGUGGUUAUUUCUCAAGGUUUUGUGGUUCACUUGUGAUUAUCAGUAAUAUAAAAACGCUGCUGCACUGUAAAAAUCGAAUGAGCUGUUUACUUAAAAAAAAUGAAGGUAACAAUAUUACACAAAAUAUUUUUGAGUAGUUCUUCAGGCUUGAUUUUAUAAUGGCAUCUAUCAUGUGAAAUCUCCUAAAUGAAUUAAUCUAUGACUCAAUUGAUUUAAUAUGAUUAGGGAAAUGUGCUCAUUUAUUUUAAGCUUAUUCUCAAAGAUCUGUGAAUGAGGUCUGUUUGUAUUCUAUUAUUUUU